GAUGAACGCUGGCGGCGUGCCUAAUACAUGCAAGUCGAGCGAACAGACGAGGAUCUUGCUCCUCUGACGUUAGCGGCGGACGGGUGAGUAACGCGUGGAUAACCUACCUAUCAGACGGGGAUAACUUCGGGAAACCGGAGCUAAUACCGGAUAAUAUAUUGAACCGCAGUGUUCAAUAGUGAAAUACGGUGUUUCUGUCACUUAUAGAUGGAUCCGCGCCGCAUUAGCUAGUUGGUAAGGUAACGGCUUACCAAGGCAACGAUGCGUAGCCGACCUGAGAGGGUGAUAGGCCACAUGGGAACUUAGACACGGUCCAGACUACUACGGGAGGCAGCAGUAGGGAAUCUGCCGCAAUGGGCGAAAGCCUGACGGAGCAACGCCGCGCGAGAGAUGAAGGUCUUCGGAUCGUAAAACUCUGUUAUUAGGGAAGAACCAAUGUGUACGUAACUAUGCACGUCUUGACGGUACCGAGUAAGAAAGCCACGGCUAACUACGUG
rnacentral:rRNA from 1 species